rnacentral:rRNA from 1 species
AGGAUGAACGCUGGCGGCGUGCCUAACACAUGCAAGUCGAACGUCCUGUCUCGCAAGAGGCAGGGAGUGGCGGACGGGUGAGUACCACGUGGGUUAUCUACCGUGAGGUGAGGAAUACCGGCGAGAAAUCGCCGACAAGACCGCAUAGCCUCGGUGCAAGCCGAGGAAAGCUUUCUCGAGAGAGGGAGCGCCACACGAGGAGCCUGCGCCCGAUUAGCUAGCUGGUGGAGUAACGGUUCACCAGGGCGACGAUCGGUAGCUGGUCUGAGAGGACGAUCAGCCACACUGGGAUUGAGAACGGCCCAGACUCCUACGGGGGCAGCAGUGAGGAAUUUUCGUCAAUGGGGGCAACCCUGAACGAGCAACGCCGCGUGCAGGAGAAGGUUUUCGGAUCGUAAACUGCUUUUCUCGGGGAAGAGAAUGGACGGUACCGAGGAAUCAGCCCGGCUAACUACGUGCCAGCAGCCGC